rnacentral:rRNA from 1 species
AGGCGGAUUGGUAAGUCAAAGGUGAAAGUCUGUAGCUUAACUAUAGAAGUGCCUUUGAUACUGCUAGUCUUGAGUACAGUUGAGGCGAGUGGAAUGUGUAGUGUAGCGGUGAAAUGCAUAGAUACUACACAGAACACCAAUUGUGAAGACAGCUCGCUAAGCUGCUACUGACGCUCAGGCACGAAAGCGUGGGGAGCGAACAGGAUUAGAUACCCUGGUAGUCCACGCUGUAAACUAUGAUCACUAGCUGUUGGCGAUAAAUUGUCAGUGGCUGAGCGAAAGCGUUAAGUGAUCCACCUGGGGAGUACGAUCGCAAGGUUGAAACUCAAAGGAAUUGACGGGGGCCCGCACAAGCGGUGGAACAUGUGGUUUAAUUCGAUGAUACGCGAGGAACCUUACCUGGGCUUAAAUGUAGAACGACGUCCUGAGAAAUCGGGAUUCCCUUCGGGGCGGACUACAAGGUGCUGCAUGGUUGUCGUCAGCUCGUGCCGUGAGGUAUCGGGUUAAGUCCCAUAACGAGCGCAACCCCUAUUGUUAGUUGCCAGCGGAUAAUGUCGGGGACUCUAACAAAACUGCCCGUGUAAACGGGAGGAAGGUGGGGAUGACGUCAAAUCAGCACGGCCCUUAUGUCCAGGGCUACACACGUGUUACAAUGGCUGGAACAAAGGGCAGCUACCACGCGAGUGGAUGCUAAUCUCUAAAUCCAGUCUCAGUUCGGAUCGGAGUCUGCAAUUCGACUUCG